UACGUAGGGUGCAAGCGUUGUCCGGAAUUAUUGGGCGUAAAGAGCUCGUAGGCGGUUUGUCGCGUCGGCUGUGAAAACCUGGGGCUCAACCCCGGGCCUGCAGCCGAUACGGGCAGACUAGAAUUCGGUAGGGGAGUCCGGAAUUCCUGGUGUAGCGGUGAAAUGCGCAGAUAUCAGGAGGAACACCGGUGGCGAAGGCGGUUCUCUGGGCCUGUACUGACGCUGAGGAGCGAAAGCGUGGGGAGCGAACAGG
rnacentral:rRNA from 1 species